UAGGGAAUCUUCCGCAAUGGACGCAAGUCUGACGGAGCAACGCCGCGUGAGUGAAGAAGGAUUUCGGUUCGUAAAACUCUGUUGUUAGAGAAGAACAGCGCAUAGAGUAACUGUUAUGCGUGUGACGGUAUCUAACCAGAAAGCCACGGCUAACUACGUGCCAGCAGCCGCGGUAAUACGUAGGUGGCAAGCGUUGUCCGGAUUUAUUGGGCGUAAAGCGCGCGUAGGCGGUUUUUUAAGUCUGAUGUGAAAGCCCACGGCUCAACCGUGGAGGGUCAUUGGAAACUGGAAAACUUGAGUGCAGAAGAGGAAAGUGGAAUUCCAUGUGUAGCGGUGAAAUGCGCAGAGAUAUGGAGGAACACCAGUGGCGAAGGCGACUUUCUGGUCUGUAACUGACGCUGAUGUGCGAAAGCGUGGGGAUCAAACAGG
rnacentral:rRNA from 1 species